rnacentral:rRNA from 1 species
UACGUAGGGUGCAAACGUUGUCCGGAAUCAUUGGGCGUAAAGCGCGUGUAGGCGGUUCGGUAAGUCCGCUGUGAAAGUCGGGGGCUCAACCCUCGGAAGCCGGUGGAUACUGUCGAGCUAGAGUACGGAAGAGGCGAGUGGAAUUCCUGGUGUAGCGGUGAAAUGCGCAGAUAUCAGGAGGAACACCAAUUGCGAAGGCAGCUCGCUGGGACGUUACUGACGCUGAGACGCGAAAGCGUGGGGAGCAAACAGG